UUCCUCAUUCAAAACGCGGCUUAUUAUCUCCUUCAUCAUUCGAAAUCCCCUUUCUCUUCAAAGAACCUGGAAGGCCAGAACCCUAAAAGCUUCAAAGAACCCCAAUCCUCACCCCAGCACUCCGCGAAGAACCCCAGCCCUCCGAAGAACAUCGUCGGCACUCGCAAUGCCUCCGUCGUCACUCUCUCUUCUGGCACUUCCACCAUCGCUGCUCCUUCGGCGGUGAUUCUAUCUGGUGGUGACUCCCUCGUCGCACACCGUCCGUCGCAAGCCCUCUAUCGCAAGUCUCUCUGGUGGUGACUUCCUCCGAGUUCACUCGAUUGACUCGGAGCAGCCUCUGGACCCUGAAUCCAUCUUCUCCGAGAACGAUGAAGGUUCGAGCCCUAAAUUCAGGGAGCGAAGAGGGGUUCUCCACUUGUUCCGGAGCGCUCUUCUCACUCCUCGAUCCCAAGCCCUAGGUCUCGCUCUUCUCUUGUCUUCAUUCUCACCAUUCCCAAUCACCUCUCCUUUGAUGACCUCAAUCGCUGGUGCGGACCCCUCCUCCACCAUCUCCACCGCCUCCUCUUCAUCAGGGUAGGUAUAGGUGAAAUAAAGAAGAUGGCAUUUCCAGGAGCAAAUGAAUCCAUUUCAGGAGCAAGUUCACCACAGAGAAAGAUAGGAAGGGGUAAGAUUGAGAUCAAGAGGAUUGAGAACACUACAAAUCGCCAAGUAACCUUUUGCAAGCGCAGAAAUGGUCUUCUCAAGAAAGCAUAUGAGUUAUCUGUGCUUUGUGAUGCUGAGGUUGCUCUUAUAGUUUUCUCCAGCCGUGGUCGUCUUUAUGAAUAUGCUAAUAACAGAUUUUGGAUGAAUACACAACUGUUUUCUAACAUCUCAGUU